CUUAACGAGGAACAAUUGGAGGGCAAGUCUGGUGCCAGCAGCCGCGGUAAUUCCAGCUCCAAUAGCGUAUAUUAAAGUUGUUGCAGUUAAAAAGCUCGUAGUUGAACUUUGGGCCCGGUUGGCCGGUCCGAUUUUUUCGUGUACUGGAUUUCCAACGGGGCCUUUCCUUCUGGCUAACCUUGAGUCCUUGUGGCUCUUGGCGAACCNGGACUUUUACUUUGAAAAAAUUAGAGUGUUCAAAGCAGGCGUAUUGCUCGAAUAUAUUAGCAUGGAAUAAUAGAAUAGGACGUUUGGUUCUAUUUUGUUGGUUUCUAGGACCAUCGUAAUGAUUAAUAGGGACGGUCGGGGGCAUCAGUAUUCAAUUGUCAGAGGUGAAAUUCUUGGAUUUAUUGAAGACUAACUACUGC
rnacentral:rRNA from 1 species